rnacentral:rRNA from 1 species
AGUCACUGACAUUAGAUACCCGCGUAGUCCAGGGUGUAAACGCUGCAGACUUGGUGUUGGGAACCCUUCGGGGGUGCUCGAGUGCCGGAGAGAAGUUGUUAAGUCUGCUACUUGGGGAGUACGUCCGCAAAGGAUGGAAACUUAAAGGAAUUGGCGGGGGAGCACCGCAACGGGAGGAGCGUGCGGUUUAAUUGGAUUCAACGCCGAAAAACUCGACCAGCAGCGACUGUUACAUGAAAGUCAGGUUGAUGACCUUACUAGAUUUUCAG